AUGUUUAGUUACUAUUAUAUUUAAAAGGUUUAUGUAGGAUACUAUUAAGCACGGAUAAAGCUGGGUGGGUCCAGCAAGGUUCAUUUCUAUUUCACUGUAACUGUGAUAUUCAUAGUGAUACUAACUUAGACUAGAGAAAAACAUGCUAAUACGUAAAUGUAGUAAUUAACAAACAGCUCCCUUGGGUGUCUGUCAAAAGUAAUGCGUCAGUAAUUACAAUAAAUAUGAAUAGUUCAAAGGUAAGAGGAUACAAUGCGACCCAGUACCAUUCUGUAGUCUUAACACUAUAUAUAUAUAUUUUUUAUGUACUCUUCUUAAGGAUUUAUAUUUUUAGUUGAUGUUCAGGUUUUAAAUGAAUGUUUUUUCAUCUUUGUUUUGCCCCCGGAUGCACGCCAUGGUCCAACAACCCUGAAUUAAAGACUGAACAUAGUGAGCAGUGUAAACCAGGUUCAUCCGCUAUGAGGGCUCGUUAUUGGAUUAAUGCUGCUUGGAUUCACUUCUUGUGUUUACAUUCACGUUGUAUUACAUUUCUGAAAUCGGCAUUCACAGCAUUUCAUUGAAGAGGUUAACACUUUAAAGUAGACGGAUAUUGACAGAAUGAUUCAUUCCUUAGGUUGUUUCUAGGAUAAAACUUAAUUUAUCUGAUCAUUUAUUUUUUUAUCUGUUCAUUUACAAACUACUUUGAAUGAAGAGUUGAAUCUCAAGGACUAGAAACGGACAACAGUAAAUAUUUACGUACUAUUGGAAGCUUGAAUUGUUUGACUGUUUACAAAUGUCCUGACUUUUGACAUUUGCAUUUGUCAUGGACCAAAGGGUCUUUCAGGGAAAAUUUGCGACGACGGUGGCACUGGACAAUACAAGUCAUAGGAUCUUUUAAGAAUUUUGACCUAAACCCUCAGGAAGAAAAUUUGAUCUAGAGGAAUUACAUUUUCUGGGUCACAUGAAACCUCGUGGACCAAAAAUACUUUCGCCCUUUGUCUUCCAUUGUGAAAGAGAGCUCUGUAUCUCAAAAGGUUGUUUUUUGUUUAUGUGAAUGCGCGUAUGGUGCCAUCGCAGUAUCAAAGCAACUUAUUACACACUUAAUAUUGAGCCCUGUGUACUUAUAGGAAUCUUGAAUUUGAGGUUGUAGAGUGUGGGUACACGUGUGGAUUUGUACACCAGUGAGCCUUGUUUUUUUACACUGGAGUUUUAAUAUCAGGAUGAGCCGAACACAGCUGCUGCUGUUCUUUUUCUCAAUGUGCCUUCUAUUCGGUUCCUCGGCGUGGAACCUCGUCUCAGGGGCCACAGACGGCGCCAGAAAGCUCGCUGUUGUGUAACAUGUUUGAAGGCUCCCAGUUUUCUGCCCACUUAAUGUUGAAUAAAUGACUACUAGGUGUUGUGUUGUCCUGCUUAAUAUGCACUGGUCUGUCGUCGGGCUUUUGUAGCCGAUUCAAGGUAGUUUUCAUGAUACUUGACGAGUUUG
ensembl:lncRNA